rnacentral:rRNA from 1 species
GACGAACGCUGGCGGCGUGCCUAAUACAUGCAAGUCGAGCGCAGGAAACUGACGGAACUCUUCGGAGGGAAGGCAGCGGAAUGAGCGGCGGACGGGUGAGUAACACGUAAGGAACCUGCCUCAAGGAUUGGGAUAACUCCGAGAAAUCGGAGCUAAUACCGGAUAGUUCAACGGACCGCAUGGUCCGUUGAUGAAAGGCGCUUCGGCGUCACCUUGAGAUGGCCUUGCGGUGCAUUAGCUAGUUGGUGGGGUAACGGCCCACCAAGGCGACGAUGCAUAGCCGACCUGAGAGGGUGAUCGGCCACACUGGGACUGAGACACGGCCCAGACUCCUACGGGAGGCAGCAGUAGGGAAUCUUCCACAAUGGACGAAAGUCUGAUGGAGCAACGCCGCGUGAGUGAUGAAGGUUUUCGGAUCGUAAAACUCUGUUGUAAGGGAAGAACACGUACGAGAGGAAAUGCUCGUACCUUGACGGUACCUUACGAGAAAGCCACGGCUAACUACGUGCCAGCCGCCGCGGUAA